rnacentral:rRNA from 1 species
GAUGAACGCUGGCGGCGUGCCUAAUACAUGCAAGUCGAGCGAACAGACGAGGAGCUUGCUCCUCUGACGUUAUCGGCGGACGGGUGAUUAACACGUGGAUAACCUACCUAUAAGACUGGGAUAACUUCGGGAAACCGGAGCUAAUACCGGAUAAUAUAUUGAACCGCAUGGUUCAAUAGUGAAAGACGGUUUUGCUGUCACUUAUAGAUGGAUCCGCGCCGCAUUAGCUAGUUGGUAAGGUAACAGCUUACCAAGGCAACGAUGCGUAGCCGACCUGAGAGGGUGAUCGGCCACACUGGAACUGAGACACGGUCCAGACUCCUACGGGAGGCAGCAGUAGGGAAUCUUACGCAAUGGGCGAAAGCCUGACGGAGCAACGACGCGUGAGUGAUGAAGGUCUUCGGAUCGUAAAAAUCUGUUAUUAGGGAAGAACAAAUGUGUAAGUAACUAUGCACGUCUUGACGGUACCGAAUCAGAAAGCCACGGCUAACUACGUG